rnacentral:tRNA from 1 species
CAGGGGAUAGUUUAAGUAAAAUAUCAGUUUUGGGUAUUGAUGAAAAAGAUUUCUUUUCCUCUGA